UGUGCAAUGUCACCCAGGACAUGCUGUGC
rnacentral:piRNA from 1 species